rnacentral:lncRNA from 1 species
GGGCGGUGAGUUGCCGCCAACCGCCCUAACGGCCGAAACAAUGUUAAUGGCUUUCAGAGUCUGGCGGCGCGUUCCCAUUAUCAUCUUCCUGUGACCCUUCCUCAUUUUACACGGAGGAGGUGGUCUCCACAGUGAUUUUAAAUUUAAUAUUUCUCUCAUAACCUUUGUGAGAUAAAAGAAUCUUCAUCCUUUUAACUUUGACGAGGGAUGAAAUGAAGUUUUCCACAACAUUUGGGAAGAUUUACAAGGUAUACUCCAUUUAGGCAAAAAUAACUGUCAGGGAAUAGUCAUUGUCAAGAGCAGUUUGUAUUGCAACCCACAAAUUAUACCUCUAUGUCGGUCCAGAAAUCCUUCAAUUUACCAAGAGAUUAUGUUUGAAAAUCUUAGAAAAAAUAAACAAUCCUGAAAAACUAAGUAGACUCCUGGUGAUUACAGUCAGUGCCACACAGAUUAUCACUUAGUGGUUCCACACCAGUAAUCUUGUUACCAAAUGAGCCUGUCAAGGUAACUCUACCAGAGGGGCUCAGACUGAUCAGCCAGUGGCAGUGAGAGCACAUUUUUCAUAGUACCACAAGAUUAUCCAUGUUGAGCUGACAUCGGAGUUCCUAUCAUAAUAUCUAAUCACUCAAUAAUAUCUAAUUACUCAAGACUUUCAGAGUGUUUUCACAUCUGCUAUCCGGUACCAGAGUGUUAGCUCCAGGAGGCAAAGGUUUUGGUUCUUUUUGUUCACCGCUGUAUUUUUAGUGCUUAGAACUGAACUUGGUACAUACUAAGUGCUCAAUAAAUGGUACUCAAUAAAUGA